GACGAACGCUGGCGGCGUGCUUAACACAUGCCAGUCGAACGGAAAGGCCCUGCUUUUGUGGGGUGCUCGAGUGGCGAACGGGUGAGUAACACGUGAGUAACCUGCCCUUGACUUUGGGAUAACUUCAGGAAACUGGGGCUAAUACCGGAUAGGAGCUCCUGCUGCAUGGUGGGGGUUGGAAAGUUUCGGCGGUUGGGGAUGGACUCGCGGCUUAUCAGCUUGUUGGUGGGGUAGUGGCUUACCAAGGCUUUGACGGGUAGCCGACCUGAGAGGGUGACCGGCCACAUUGGGACUGAGAUACGGCCCAGACUCUUACGGGAGGCAGCAGUGGGGAAUAUUGCACAAUGGGCGGAAGCCUGAUGCAGCAACGCCGCGUGCGGGAUGACGGCCUUCGGGUUGUAAACCGCUUUCGCCUGUGACGAAGCGUGAGUGACGGUAAUGGGUAAAGAAGCACCGGCUAACUACGUG
rnacentral:rRNA from 1 species